ACAACGUUUGAGUUCCUGCCUGCUCUUGUUCCAUGGAAUACACGUGGGCUCAUGGAGAAGGACUUGAUGAGCUGAUUGUUCUUGCAGUGGUCCUGGAUGUAGCUGCAGAAGACUAUUACUUGACUCUUUCACCUGCCAUUGCCUCACUCCAGAGGAAGGCAGAUUUUGAAGAAAAACUGAUAAGUUUUACAUUGACAGAACAAAGAUGAAAAGAGCUCAUUUCUCUACUCACUUGGAAGAAGCAUUGAGCAUGUCUUUUCAGACUCUGGACAGCACUAAAUAAAAAUAAAUUGCCUGUACUCUGGCUUAUGAGA
rnacentral:lncRNA from 1 species